rnacentral:rRNA from 1 species
GACGAACGCUGGCGGCGUGCUUAACACAUGCAAGUCGAACGGAAAGGCCCUGCUUUUGUGGGGUGCUCGAGUGGCGAACGGGUGAGUAACACGUGAGUAACCUGCCCUUGACUUUGGGAUAACUUCAGGAAACUGGGGCUAAUACCGGAUAGGAGCUCCGGCUGCAUGGUGGGGGUUGGAAAGUUUCGGCGGUUGGGGGUGGACUCGCGGCUUAUCAGCUUGUUGGUGGGGUAGUGGCUUACCAAGGCCUUGACGGGUAGCCGGACUGAGAGGGUGAGCGGCGACAUUGAGACUGAGGUACGGCCCAGACUCCUACGGGAGGCAGCAGUGGGGAAUAUUGCACAAUGGGCGGAAGCCUGAUGCAGCAGCGCCGCGUGCGGGAUGGCGGCCUUCGGGUGGUAAACCGCUUUCGCCUGUGACGAAGCGUGAGUGACGGUAAUGGGUAAAGAAGCACCGGCUAACUACGUG